rnacentral:rRNA from 1 species
GAUGAACGCUGGCGGCGUGCCUAAUACAUGCAAGUCGAGCGAACGGACGAGAAGCUUGCUUCUCUGAUGUUAGCGGCGGACGGGUGAGUAACACGUGGAUAACCUACCUAUAAGACUGGGAUAACUUCGGGAAACCGGAGCUAAUACCGGAUGACAUUUUGAACCGCAUGGUUCAAAAGUGAAAGACGGUCUUGCUGUCACUUAUAGAUGGAUCCGCGCUGCAUUAGCUAGUUGGUAAUGUAACGGCUUACCAAGGCAACGAUGCAUAGCCGACCUGAGAGGGUGAUCGGCCACACUGGAACUGAGACACGGUCCAGACUCCUACGGGAGGCAGCAGUAGGGAAUCUUCCGCAAUGGGCGAAAGCCUGACGGAGCAACGCCGCGUGAGUGAUGAAGGUCUUCGGAUCGUAAAACUCUGUUAUUAGGGAAGAACAUAUGUGUAAGUAACUGUGCACAUCUUGACGGUACCUAAUCAGAAAGCCACGGCUAACUACGUG